CUUGGCUAACAUCGUCGAUCGUCAUUAAGGUCCCACCUAAGGUUUCAUAGUGAGCCCGCCGAGGACUACCUGGGGUUUCAAUUUCUUUCAAAGCCGCGACCUUUCUCCGAGUCUUCUUGUCACUUUUUUUUUUUAUUAUUCUGAGAGUCUUAAUCGCAUCAAUUCAUUGAAUUCAAAUUAUGAUUUGAAUCUUCUGUAAGGUUCAUUAGGUUUAAGGUUGUGAUGGUAAACCUUUGCUCCCUCGUUGGAAAUCUGUUAUUGUUGGCUUGAUCAUGUAAAUUCUUUGUAGUUUGUUGCCAUGAAAUCUAAUCUGACCUGCGGCUGAAAUGGUUGGAUUGUUUGUGUUUACGCAGUUGAUUUCCAGGGUUUCUGAAUUUUAAUGUGCAAAAUCUCAAGUGGGGGUGUUAUAGUAGUUUUGUUUUGGGCAUCCGAAUCUUUUCAGAACCACAAUUUCCCAUCUGGUUAUUUGUUAAUUUAUAUCAAGACGGAGAACUGGGCUCAAACUUCGUCUGGUUCAACUUCACAGCCAUAAAUUUGUUACCUUGUCACGUAGUUUAUCAUUUUGUUUGGUGGAAGUUUUGAUAUCGAAAUGGACGACGGGGAGCUCGAUUUCUCGAACCAGGAAGCUUUUUCAAGUCCAAAUAUGGGGGAGCUUCUGAGAAGUUGCUCAAUGGAUAGUUUCUUUGAGGAACUUCUUAAGGACUCUCACGCUUGUACUCACACUCACACUUGCAACCCACCCGGCCCUGAUUCUUCGCACACGCACACCUGUUUUCAUGUGCACACUAAAAUAGUACCGGCCCCAAGUGACGACAAGGUUGCCACGGAUGAUACUGCGGAGUCCACUGAAAAGAAUUGCAAGAAACGCCCGAAAGGCAAUCGGGAAGCAGUUCGCAAGUACCGUGAGAAAAAGAAGGCCCGAGCUGCAUCUUUGGAGGAUGAAGUUGUGCGAUUAAGGGCUUUGAAUCUGCAGUUGUUAAAGAGGUUGCAGGGUCAAGCUGCAUUGGAGACAGAAAUUGCAAGGCUGAAGUGUUUGCUUGUGGAUAUUCGAGGAAGGAUUGAAGGGGAGAUUGGAUCGUUUCCAUAUCAGAAAUCAGUCAAUCCAAACUUGCCUAAUCCUAGCAUGCCUGGCCCAUAUGUGAUGAACCCAUGUAACAUGCAGUGUGGUGAUCAGGUCUAUUGUCUUCGUCCAGUGGUGGAUGGCCAAAGUGGAGAGGACGCAUUAUUGAAUGGGCAAGGCCUUAAUGGCUGUGAAUUUGAGAAUCUUCAGUGUUUGGCAAAUCAGAAUUCAGUGUCAAAGGAGCUUCCUGGUUGUGGUAUGGGGUAUUUAGCCUCCGAUGUCAAUUCUUCUGGCACAAAUAAGAGGAAAGGAGGGACUCGUGCAGCAAAAGCAAGUUGAAGUGCUGCUUAGUCAGCAAUUUCUGUAUGCUCGAGGGUAUAUAUGGUCGUCCAAUAAGUAGUAUUGUUGAACUCAUCAUAAGCUUUCCUUGCAGGAAGGAAGCACUGCCUUCUAACUGAAGUUUUGCGAAGGCAUUCAUGUCAUCCACAAUACAUGACGAAAAUCGGGUAACUUUCUCAGUAUGUUGGCUUUAUUUGAAGCAACCUGCCACUGUGAUUACAAACAGAUGGGAGUUCUCACUGCCAUUAGGGUGAGAAAUAAAGGUGGCAAAGAAGAUGCCAUGGGCUUAUUACUAUUUGAUGGAUCUCUCUUUGAAAGGAUGUGUUUUAGCAUGCUUUCUUGUUGAUAAAGAUCCUGAAUUCGUUGGUCAAAUUUGGUAGGUUAACUUUUUGAGUCUACUCGAGAAGAAAGGUGGAGAAUGGGGUGUCUGUUCAAUUCUGCUUAAUGAGUAAAUCUAUUUGUGGGGGAUCUCUCUGCAGUUUUUGUGCCUUCAUGGUAUGCUUAACAACUGUGUAUUGUUUGUUUAGAAACAUAAUUAUUCUGAGAUAUUUUCAGACUA